rnacentral:sRNA from 1 species
GGCCUCAGUGCAUGGGCGCUGUCCAACCUCUGGUGCUGAAGCAGCCAAGAGACCCAAGCCUGCGUGGCUGCCUCUUAGGAUAUGACAGCACAGCCACUGGCCUCUACUGAAUCCUAUGCAACCUCAGAAGACACCCAGGAGUGAUGCCAUCACGUGGUGCAAGAGUUCUGAGGGACCGCAAUCCUGAAGACAUUGAAUGGUGGGUGCAGGGCCUCAUGGCCUGUUCCCCAGCUCCUCUCAUUGGCUCUGCUCCAGGUGGUGAAGGGGGAUAACAUUUCUGUCAGUUCUGCCAUGAUUGCCUAGCAGGAAAAGGAGCAGAGCCCAGAAGCAGGGCCUGGUAUGCAGCCUGCCUAACAAGGGAGAAUUUAUAGGCUCUGUGGACAGAAAGAUCUGGGAGUCCAUAUCUAUCACCCACUAGCUUGCUGAGACAUUAGUAAAGUCAGUUUUCUGAACUACAUUUCUGUCAUCUGUAAAUUAAGAGGAAUUUCUUCUACCCCACAAGGCUUCUUGGAUAAUUAGUGACAGUGUGUGUAGAGUAGGUGCCACCCAGCCAGCAUUUGGUGUCCAGAACACUCCUAUUCCCCCUUGAUUUUCUGCCUAAAUUUGCAUUUUGUUCUUAAGAUUUUCACUCCCCUUAAUUCUGCUCUUCCCUCUGAUUUCUGCCUUACUGUAUAUCCCAUGGAGUCACCAGGAUCAAAGUGGGUAACAGUCAUGUAUGCAUGUAUGUGUGUGUACAUAUACACAUUGUUGGGGUUGGAGUGUGGUGUGUGGGUAAGUGUAUGAGUUGGAAUCACUGACUGAAACUCUCCACACCAGGCUGUGUUCCUGCUCAUUGCUGGAGGUACUGUCAGGGGCCCUGUCCUCAACCCCGGGUCUGACCCUUGCAGAUCAGGCAGGACAUUCUGGAGGAAUCAUGCCCUUGGAAGGAUCCCUGAGGAGUGACUGUUGUUAGAUUAAAAAACAGUGGCAAAGAGCAAUACAGAGAGUUGCCAAAAUUCACACCGCUGGUCCAGGUUUGAAGCAAGCAGUCUGUACCUGCAGUCCUUGUCUGUAACCAUGGCACCCUGGCUUCUCACACAUCUCAUCGUGGAGUUCCACCAUGUGUCAGGCAUGGCACUGAGCACCUUCUUUUAAGAAUAUAAUUUGUAAUUAUGUAGAUUAUUAAUUCUACUUCAAAAUGCCACACAGCCUUCAUGUGAUAAAAUGAAACAAUUGCUCAACUGAUCUCCUGGGAUCUCUACUAAGAUGUUGGCAGCCCGGCCAGCUGGUCUGGCCCUGGACGUGCCUUCAGGGUCUGGUUAUGCUUCAUGACCUGCACUGUGGUCAGUGCCAUUUUGCAGACUCUGAUCACAGUGAAACAUUCCAUGGGAACUUGGGCCAUGAGAAACAUCCUUCCUAACCACGUGACUGCAGAAACAUCCUUAUCGCGUCCUCCUGGGCAAAGGUCCAACAGCCUGACUGCAGGGACAUCCUUGCCAUAUCCUGCUGGGCAGCAAGCUCUACCACCCAGAUCCCUCCCUCCCAGUCCCAUGAUUACCCCAGCCUGUGAGUGGCAGUUGGUGCUGGCACUAAGCUGGUUUCCUCCUCCCCAGGGUUUUGCUGGCAAUAAA